CUUGGCUUUUGAAGAGUUCUAGAGCCACCAUGAAGGAUAAGGAGGGAUUACAUAGCUCCGGAGCAAGGGAUGGAGAAAGAGAAAGGCCAAGUUGUGGGGUCAUACUCUGUCUAUGUGUGAACGCAAGACUCGACAAGGAAGCAGUUUUUAAUUUCUCAUGCUCUUAACACCUGAACUUCCUGUCAACUGCUUACAUCCUGUUUCUGUUACUGUUAGAGCUACUGAUGCACUUUACAGUCAUAUCUGAUUAGUACCGGCCAAGUGGCAUUAUUUGAUGGGUCAUUAUUUGGAGGAGAAUACAGGGAAUUCCCUGUCUGACCUUGCUAGUACUUCAUAUACGAGAGAACGAGAGAUUUCCCAGCUGACGUUACCAGAAGCCUUCAGGAGACCUGCGCCAUGCCCCCUAGAUGCGGCAGUGCCCGGCAAUGGGCGCAGGCAGGUAAGCUGACGUUGCGGAGGCGGUUGCUAGCUCU
rnacentral:lncRNA from 1 species